AGUACCACGCCGGAUGAACGGAAAUCAUUGAUGUUGAUUAAUAUGGGAUCAGGAAAGUAUCUCUGGUGCUA
rnacentral:tRNA from 1 species